UGGGGAAUUUUGGACAAUGGGCGCAAGCCUGAUCCAGCCAUACCGCGUGAGUGAAGAAGGCCUUCGGGUUGUAAAGCUCUUUCAGACGGAAAGAAACGGUUACGGCUAAUACCCGUGACUAAUGACGGUACCGUAAGAAGAAGCACCGGCUAACUACGUGCCAGCAGCCGCGGUAAUACGUAGGGUGCGAGCGUUAAUCGGAAUUACUGGGCGUAAAGCGUGCGCAGGCGGUUUGGUAAGACAGAUGUGAAAUCCCCGGGCUUAACCUGGGAACUGCAUUUGUGACUGCCAGACUAGAGUGUAGCAGAGGGGGGUAGAAUUCCACGUGUAGCAGUGAAAUGCGUAGAUAUGUGGAGGAAUACCGAUGGCGAAGGCAGCCCCCUGGGCUAACACUGACGCUCAUGCACGAAAGCGUGGGGAGCAAACAGGAUUAGAUACCCGGGUAGUCCCUGAGCGGGCUGGCAAGGCGCAU
rnacentral:rRNA from 1 species